UAGGGAAUCUUCCACAAUGGACGAAAGUCUGAUGGAGCAACGCCGCGUGAGUGAAGAAGGGUUUCGGCUCGUAAAACUCUGUUGUUAAAGAAGAACACGUAUGAGAGUAACUGUUCAUACGUUGACGGUAUUUAACCAGAAAGUCACGGCUAACUACGUGCUAG
rnacentral:rRNA from 1 species